ensembl:lncRNA
AAUGAGACUGUAUUACACAUAAAGGAGGAUAUCGUCUGUCAUAUGGGCCGGGAGGGAGGUGGGCUUUGGGCCUGAGCGGAGCAUACUUUCCACCUCUGAGUGUGGGCCAGAGCAGCCGCAGUUCCUCAUGUCCGACUCCCGACAGGAAGCACUCGGAGCCCCACAGCUGCCCACCACCAGUGACACUCGGCUGGCUCUGCUCUCAUCCAGGACGCGGUCCAGGCUCUGCACAGGGAACGUGUUCAGUCAGCGAGCCCACAGCUGGAAGGCAAAGAAGCGCAUUGAAAUGGAAAUGAAGGAGGCAUCGUCCUCUCAUUCCUCACACAAUGAGACCUGCCCAGGAAUGAAGAUUUGUUGGGACAGACACAUCAGGAUCUGAAGAGGAGAGUGGUGAAAAGGUGAAGGAAGUAGUGUGAUCCAGAAUCUCCUGAGGUUAAUACUUUGACACAAUGACAAUAUAUGACAAAUGUCUAUGCGGCUUAGGUGAUGUCAUGGCCUUGAAUGGGAUGUCAAAAUGCGCACAAUUGGAAUACAUUUGCGGUCCAACUCUCUCGUCAUAAACAAAGAAAAAUUGAAUUAAAAUGUAUGGUUUAAAUAUUGCAGAGCAGUUUCAAAAGUUG